rnacentral:rRNA from 1 species
AUGCAUGCGCCAUUUAUGCACUCCAAAUUACAAAGAUUUGGUGAGAUGCUUCUGGAGCUACUACCUGUAACCUACCUGGAUGAGGUCCUGCUUGGCGUCAUCAAUUGUGAUGAUCCUGACGGGUUCCCUACAGUGCUUGUGGGUAGCCGUCAGUCGUCACUCACUGUGUCACAAAUGGACUUGGCCACAUGCCACAACAUCUUCGGUUGGCUGAUCUUUCCUUGUCUCGCGCCAGCAUCAUCUUCUCUUCUCUCCAGGAAGAAAGAAAGACUUUUCGCGAAUAAGGAAGAAAGAAAGACUAGCACUAGUUGCUCCUAG